GAUGAAGAACGUAGCGAAAUGCGAUAAGUAAUGCGAAUUGCAGAAUUUCCGUGAGUCAUCGAAUCUUUGAACGCACAUUGCGCCCAUUGGCAUUCCGAUGGGCAUGCCUGUUCGAGCGUCAUUAUCCUCCCUCAAACCCCUGGGUUUGGUGUUGGACUGUGUGGUGCCUGGCACCACUGGUCUCAAAGACAAUGACGGCGUCCGUGGGACCCUCGGUGCAACGAGCUUUUCGAAGCACGCGUCGAGUGGACAGUCUCUCCGGGCCGGUCACCUCUCCAAUUUUUCUCAGGUUGACCUCGGAUCAGGUAGGAAUACCCGCUGAACUUAAGCAUAUCAAUAAGCGGAGA
rnacentral:misc_RNA from 1 species